rnacentral:rRNA from 1 species
AUUGAACGCUGGCGGCAGGCCUAACACAUGCACGUCGAACGGAGUGGCGGACGGGUGAGUAAUGUCUGGGAACCUGCCUGAUGGAGGGGGAUAACUACUGGAAACGGGCGCUAAUACCACAUACUAUCAGAUGAGCCUAGGUGGGAUUAGCUAGUUGGGGGGGUAAUGGCCUACCAAGGCGACGAUCCGUAACUGGUCUGAGAGGAUGACCAGUCACAGUGGAACGGAGACACGGUCCAGACUCCUAAGGGAGGCAGCAGUGGGGAAUAUUGGACAAUGGGCGAAAGCCUGAUGCAGCCAUGCCGCGGGUGUGAAGAAGGUCGUCGGAUUGUAAAGCACUUUAAGUUUGGAGGCGUUACCAGCAGAAGAAGCACCGGCUAACUUCGUGCCAGCAGCCGCGAUAAUUC